UACGGAGGGGCUAGCGUUGUUCGGAUUUACUGGGCGUAAAGCGCACGUAGGCGGAUCGUUAAGUCGGGGGUGAAUCCUGGAGCUCAACUCCAGAACUGCCUUCGAUACUGGCGAUCUUGAGUCCGGAAGAGGUGAGUGGAACUCCUAGUGUAGAGGUGGAAUUCGUAGAUAUUAGGAAGAACACCAGUGGCGAAGGCGGCUCACUGGUCCGGUACUGACGCUGAGGUGCGAAAGCGUGGGGAGCAAACAGG
rnacentral:rRNA from 1 species